rnacentral:siRNA from 1 species
UUUCCAACACAUCUUCCACAUGCC